AGGUGUUCAGAUCAUUCAUACCUCCAGUUUCAGAAUCUUCCAGUGAUAUCUGUGGCUUACCUCAGACUAGUGCUUCUGUCUAUGAUGAAAUAGUUAUCUGCCAGUUGGAAGGAGGUACUCAAAUACUCUGUAUAAACAGUUGUGACACACAAGAACUAAAACCAGUUCAUCUAAUUCCCGAGUAUCAUGACCAACAUAAUUAUCUUCAAUCGGGUACAAAAAAAAUGAAUAUUAUCUCUGUCAAAUAGUAUGUCAUAGAUUAUUAAUGUGCGACUGCAUGUGUUUAUGUUCUUAAGCAGCAACAGUGGGAGAUAAGACAAAGCUAAUGUAGCUAUCACCAGUUAUUAUUUUACUUUAUUUUAUAACUGAAACAUUUCUAGGCGCUUCAGUGUAAUAGGAAUGAUGUACUGGAUAUGUUGAAUUCAUUGAAAGUUUUUAAUCUAGAUUAUUUUCCAUAUAAAGCACAUAUAGCAUGAGCACCUGCAUACCUUUGCAUUUACCCUAGCUUGCCACUGAGCGUCACUGUUUCUCAAUAAAUGAAGAGCACCGUUGAGCGCUAUGGGUGUACUUUGGUCUUGGGAUUCAGAAUGUCUCAUUUACAUAAUUAUGUGAACUUGAAGUGCCAUCAGUUUCUAAAGAUUUCUGAGGUCCUAAAGUUAAUGCUGUUUAGAUGGAGUAACACAUUUUCAUCAGAGCAGCAAUCAUGUAUUUGAGCGUAGUUUAGUUUUAAUUUAAAUAAAUAUUUCUUUACCUAAAUAUAGCUUCCUCAAAAACAUUAUUAACAAGGUUUAUUUCUUUCUUUAUUAUUAUUAUUUUAUUACAGUGGUGCAUUUUGAUGGCAAUACGAAAACAAAGCCUUUCAAUAUUAGGCACUAUACAAGCGCAGAUUUUGCUCUCAGUAUUAAUAGGUGCUGAGUGUGAACAUCUCUCAGUAAAUGCUCCAGGUAUGGAGCCU